rnacentral:rRNA from 1 species
GAACAGUGCUACCCGCCGCCCCAGGCGUGCCCGGUCGGCAAAAGGCACGUCUAUGCUGUUCUACUGCGACUGCCACUCACGCCGUCGUGCGUGCGUGCGUGCGAGACGAGGUGAGCUAUACUCGUAGUCGCCGUCAUAACAUAAGCGGAGUGGCUUCGGGUUUUGGUUUUUGUUUGGGUGGUGCUCGGGGUGCUCGGAGGGAGGGACGAGUGCUUGGAGCGGCACACGAUCGAGCGGCGGCUGCCCGGCCCUCUGCUACCUCCCGCGGCACGAGACGCGGCGGUUGGUGCGCGGCGAGUGCGGGGAGAGGAAGGAACUCGCCAGGCGCGAGCAGAUGGGCCUGGCGGGGCGGCAGGACCGGCGGCGGCCUCUGCGCGGCGGGUCCUGCACCGCCCUCUGGGCCCGGGCGACGGAGGCGGAGCGGCGGCGCGAGCGGCCGGAGCCGCAGGUCGCGGCGGUGCACCAGCGGCACAAGCGCGUCUUGCAGGGCCGCUACACGCUCGACGUGAAGCGGCACGGGUACCGCCCCCGGCAGUAGACGCGCGAGUUGAGCGCGGAGCUGCGGCGGUACCGGAGGCAGGACGACGCGGUGAGCCUCCGGUCCCAGGAGAAGCAGCUGCGGCGCGACGAGCCGCAGCGCGCCCUCCGGGAGGCGGAGGACAGGCUGCGGCCGCGGUGCGGGGGGCGGCAGCAGGAGUAGUCUCUCGACGAGCUGCCGACGCUGCUGCCUAGUUGUAGAAGAAAAAGACCACGCUGCCCAUGGCACAUGCUCAUGCUCCGAGACCACUCGCCCCCGCCCAGCGGCCUCAAGCGCCAGGCCACCGGCCUCCUGCUCUUGCUCGGCUAGCGCGAGUUGAUGUGCAGCCCCUGCUGCAGCGCCGGGUUCCCGCACUAGAUGUGGGUGGCGCCGCGGAUGGAGUUGUCGGAGCGGAGCCACGACGAGUUGCUGUACGGCAGGUACGGCCACAUGGAGACCUGCCAAGGGUACAAGGUGACGUUGCCGACCACGUACCGCACCCCGCACCGCCGCGUCCCGCCGUGGUUGCAGACGGAGGCGUUCCAGUGGCCGCGCCGGUAGAAGCUGCGGCAGAGGGCCGUGCCCCAGUGGGUGUACCCGCCGCGCGGCUGCCACGACCCGUACUAGCACGUGCGGCGCGGCCUCCUCUCCGCCGGCGACGGCCGCCCCUCCUUCCACCGGCACUACUGGCCGCCGCGCGGGGGCGGCGGCCGGCACGACAAGGCCUACCUCCUCGACCCCAAGGACCACUAGGUGAGCAUGCCCGACUGCCUCUGCAUGCCGGGCCGGUGCCACACGUGCACCUUCGGGCUCACCCUGCGCGACGGCCGCCUGCUCGCCCGCCGCUAGUUCAGCGCCGUCCCCGACGUGGUGGACCCGGACCUCCACCUGCAGUUCCUGGGGCGGUGGUACGCGUCGCACGGGCGGCUGCCCCGGUGCUACCCCCUCCACUACAAGGCCCCGUUGUGCCACUACUCGCCCAUGAUGUUCCUGCGCCGGCGGUGCCGCCUCCGCGAGCGGCCGCCCACCAAGGCCAGCCCGCUGGACCGCCACGCCCAGGGGCCCCUGCCCAUGCACUUCUAGUCCCUGGCCAGGUUCCUGUAGUAGUAGAGGCCGCCCCUCUUGUAGUCGUGGUAGCUCCACCUCCGCCGCGACAAGCGCGUGGGCCGGCACCGCCUCCGCCGGCAGCACCCGGCCGGCCUGCUCGUGACCCCGCUCUGCGGCACGCGCAAGCAGCACCGGUUCUUCCCCCUCUCCCACCUCGGCCUCCUCCACCACCGCAAGACGGCCCCGUCUGACGGCGCCAUGUACCGCGGCUCCUGCCACCACCACCACCUCCUCGACGGGUUCUGCCGCUGGCCGUUCCACGUCUUCAAGCGCGAGGCCCUGUUCCGGUUCCGGUACCCGUCGGAGAGGUGGUCGUUCGAGACUUAAGUGAUGAGGGGAUUAGACAAGAUACCACUAACGUUAGGUACAAACCAAACCUUAUUGAUCGUUUUUACCGGCACGCAACGUUGCCCUCUUUUUACGAUAUACACAUCCCCCUCCCCCCAAUAGUGAAGAUAUAUACCCAUUUUCAUUUCCUAUCAGGAUGGUAAAAGUUUAACACCCGUACUCACGAUCUCGAUAAUAGAGCGAUAUACACAUCCCCCUCCCCCCAAUAGUGAAGAUAUAUACCCAUUUUCAUUUCCUAUCAGGAUGGUAAAAGUUUAACACCCGUACUUACGAUCUCGAUAAUAGAGCUGUAAAAAUACGGGUCUAUUUAGUUCAUGAUUAUUAUAGUGAAUUAAAAUGGUUAUUAUAUGAAUACAAUGUAGUGGGUCUCUUUAUAAUACAAUUUUUCCUUGCCUGAUUUUUUUUUAACCAAGCGUUAGUAUAUACGUACGUCCCCUAGUUAUAAAACGAAGUUUCAAGAUACUUCUCAAACACCGAGUACGGAGUAAUGUAAAUCUUCUUCUUUUAGAACAGUAGAAAUCCACCCGCGAUCGUAAAACGUCUUCAAUAUGGAAGCUCUAAGUAAGAGUUUAUUUUAAGUCUUCACGUUUUUGUCUAGAUUGUCAUCAGUGUCAUGUUGAGGUCGUAGGAGAAAACAAUUGAACGGCAACAAAACUACAUCUAAACCGUGGUCGGAGAGAUCGUCUUCCUUUUAGGUACAGUUAUUAUCUGAUACUUUUGAGUUUCAUGUAUGAUUUACUUUAGGAAGAGUUCACACAAAGACGAAGGUGUCAUUAUUAUUUUUUAAGAUAAAUU